UUGUAAAGUACUUUCAGCAGUGAGGAAGGUGGGUAUGUUAAUAGCAUACUCAUUUGACGUUAGCUGCAGAAGAAGCACCGGCUAACUCCGUGCCAGCAGCCGCGGUAAUACGGAGGGUGCGAGCGUUAAUCGGAAUUACUGGGCGUAAAAGCGCAUGCAGGUGGUUUGUUAAGUCAGAUGUGAAAGCCCGGGGCUCAACCUCGGAAUUGCAUUUGAAACUGGCAAACUAGAGUACUGUAGAGGGGGUAGAAUUUCAGGUGUAGCGGUGAAAUGCGUAGAGAUCUGAAGGAAUACCGGUGGCGAAGGCGGCCCCCUGGACAGAUACUGGCACUCAGAUGCGAAAGCGUGGGGAGCAAACAGGAUUAGAUACCCUGGUAG
rnacentral:rRNA from 1 species